rnacentral:rRNA from 1 species
UGGGGAAUAUUGCACAAUGGGCGAAAGCCUGAUGCAGCAACGCCGCGUGAGUGAUGAAGGUCUUCGGAUUGUAAAGCUCUGUCUUUUGGGACGAUAAUGACGGUACCAAAGGAGGAAGCCACGGCUAACUACGUGCCAGCAGCCGCGGUAAUACNUAGGUGGCGAGCGUUGUCCGGAUUUACUGGGCGUAAAGGGUGCGUAGGCGGAUGUUUAAGUGAGAUGUGAAAUACCCGGGCUUAACU